rnacentral:lncRNA from 1 species
CUCAGAGAUCUGCCCCAUUCUAUUAACUGGCUGUCUGCAAUCGCAGGAAAUGGAGGGCCUGUAAUUUGUUUAAUGAGUCCCGCAGGGGUGAUUUCCAGUUGCUUGCUGUUUUAAACCAUCUCGAAGUCAACAGGAUGGGACAUACAUCGUGGUGCCCAUACGCUAGCAUUUCCGUGACAUUCAGUGCUGGAAUUGACAUUUCUGAGUCAAAGGGCAGAUGCACUGAAAAUACUGAGCGAUGUCGCCCAAGUGCUUUGCACAGAGAACAGCCCGGAGCGUGAGUGCUGAUUUUCACUCCUGGGGAUACUCCUGCUCUCAAGAACAGAGCCCCCACCCACGCGGCCACCGUCCCCUGGCCAGUCACCGUAGCCUCGCGGACUUCAGUCAUUAGUUGCUGCUUUCCCUGAUGUUAUGAAAAAAAACCCGGAACGUUGGGCUCUCAGGACAGGAGCUGAUGUUCCAGCAGCAUCGUGGACUGAUUUCAUCGGGGCCCGGGGAAGACUGUGGAAAUGAGCACUGCAGGGAGGCUUCUCCAAUCCAUUGGGCAGAAAUGCUUUGAAGCUCUUUCCUUAAGACUGAGCUGCCACAAAAUGCCUGUCCUCAGCUGGUCCAGAACCCUUGGCAUCAUUGGGUUCCUCUUGGUGAAUCACCCAGAGAUUUGGCCUUGGCAUGCCCCUUCUGGAAGGAUCAUGGUGCGUCUCUCUUUUCACCUGCUGGGUCUUCUUCAAUGCAAACAGAACACAAAGAACCUUAAAGGUAACUGUUUCAUUGUAUUUGCUUUGAAAUUCCUACUUUGGUGAAUAGAAAUUGGAUGUUGGAGGUGACCCCCCAUCCACUCCUGUUUGGGCUGAAGCCCCCUUUGGAGGUCAUUCAUAAUGGGGGGCUGUCAAUAUUAUGUUCAGCUGGGGCUUCCCCUCUCCCCAUGUCUUCUGUAGUCAUGAGAUGGAAUAUUCUAUACACUCUGGAUACAUUUUUCUGCUAUCGAUACUUUCACUGUGGGCUAAUUGGAGGUAGGGUCCCCAUUCUGUGAAUGGGAUCUCCAUCUAGGUUAACUUUUUUUUUUUUUUUUGAUGAUUGACAUGUUCCUGAGGUUUUUUUUUGUCAUCAAGAGUUUCACUAAAUGUCACAGAAAAUGCUUUUCUGAAACUCUGAAGAUGGGGAUUCUAAUGGGAAUGUAGGAUGUUCUCAUAACCUCGUGUUGUCAGAAGGGAGGGUCCUAAGGGACGUGGUAUUGGCAUUCCCACGGAAACUCGGGGAACAUGGCCCACAUUCAGUUUCUAAUGAUGCCUGGUGUCCUCAGCAGGCAUUUAGGGACACGUUCUUAGUCCGGGGUCGUGGUGGGGUCACGUCCACAUGUCAUGCUGCAGCAGAUGGCAUGGCCCAUAGUCUGCAGCUCUCCUCGGCGGGCCAGGUGGGCAGGGCUGUGCUGACCUCAGGCUGGGUUAGCCAGCUGGCAUUCCAGAUCUCAAGGGAAAAAGCAACUGACUGAGAUAACACAGCCAGGCUGUGGACAAAUGUGUGCUCGAGUUUACUGACCAGUGAACGAGAAUCACACAAAUCUCAUGUUCAUGGGCUUUGUGUUCAUACAUCGCUUUUUCCCUCCAUUGAGAGAGGUUGGUCCCCCACCAGGCCGAUGCCGCUGUGCCUGCUCCUUUCCUGCUGCGGUUCCCACCUGGUUCUUCUGGAUCCCAGGUCCUCUGUGCUCUUCUCAGUGUUCCUCCUGGGCUAUCUGGUCUCAGUUCCUCCAUUGCCUCAUGGGGCUGAUUUCAGCUUCUGUUAUUGGCCCUUCUUGGAGCAUUC